UGAGUUUGAUCCUGGCUCAGAGCGAACGCUGGCGGCAGGCUUAACACAUGCAAGUCGAACGGGCACUUCGGUGCUAGUGGCAGACGGGUGAGUAACACGUGGGAACGUACCUUUUGGUUCGGAAUAAUCCAGGGAAACUUGGACUAAUACCGGAUACGCCCUUCGGGGGAAAGAUUUAUCGCCGAAAGAUCGGCCCGCGUCUGAUUAGCUAGUUGGUGAGGUAAAGGCUCACCAAGGCGACGAUCAGUAGCUGGUCUGAGAGGAUGA
rnacentral:rRNA from 1 species